CCCUUAGAUGUUCUGGGCUGCACGCGCGCUACACUGAUGCAUGCAACGAGUUUUCGACCUUGCCUGAAAAGGUUGGGUAAUCUGUUUAACAUGUGUCGUGAUGGGGAUAGACUAUUGCAAUUAUUGGUCUUCAACGAGGAAUUCCUAGUAGACGUAGUUCAUCAGACUGCAUCGAUUACGUCCCUGCCCUUUGUACACACCGCCCGUCGCUCCUACCGAUUGAAUGCUCAGGUGAGCCAUUCGGACUUUCAUCAUGCUGGUUUCCAGUUUUGAUGAAGGAAAGUCUUGCGAACCUUAUCAUUUAGAGGAAGGAGAAGUCGUAACA
rnacentral:rRNA from 1 species